UUUUCCGUAGGUGAACCUGCCGAAGGAUCCUUA
rnacentral:rRNA from 1 species